rnacentral:rRNA from 1 species
CCUACGGGUGGCAGCAGUGGGGAAUAUUGCACAAUGGGCGAAAGCCUGAUGCAGCGACGCCGCGUGAGGGAAGACGGUCUUCGGAUUGUAAACUUCUGUUCUUAGUGAAGAAUCAUGAGGGUAACUAAGGAGCAAGCCACGGCUAACUACGUGCCAGCAGGCGCGGUAAUACGUAGGUGGUAAGCGUUGUCCGGAAUUACUGGGUGUAAAGGGAGCGUAGGCGGGGAGUCAGUUCAGCUGUGAAAACUACGGGCUUACCCUGUGGGCUGCGGUUGAAAGUGGCUUUCUUGAGUGCAGUAGGGGUUGCUGGAAUUCCGGGUGUAGCGGUGAAAUGCGCAGAUAUUCGGAGGAACACCGAUGGCGAAGGCGGGCAACUGGGCAUUAACUGACGCUGAGGCUCGAAAGUGUGGGGAGCGAACAGGAUUAGAUACCCUAGUAGUC